rnacentral:rRNA from 1 species
GGGGAAUUUUCCGCAAUGGGCGAAAGCCUGACGGAGCAAUACCGCGUGAGGGAGGAAUGCCUUUGGGUUGUAAACCUCUUUUCUCAGGGAAGAAGAUCUGACGGUACCUGAGGAAUAAGUAUCGGCUAACUCCGUGCCAGCAGCCGCGGUAAUACGGAGGAUGCAAGCGUUAUCCGGAAUCAUUGGGCGUAAAGCGUCCGCAGGUGGUUUCCAAAGUCUGCUGUUAAAGACUGGAGCUCAACUCCGGAACGGCGGUGGAAACUUGGAAACUAGAGUUCGGUAGGGGUAGCAGGGAUUCCCAGUGUAGCGGUGAAAUGCGUAGAUAUUGGGAAGAACAUCGGUGGCGAAGGCGUGCUGCUGGACCGUAACUGACACUCAGGGACGAAAGCUAGGGGAGCGAAAGGGAUUAGAUACCCCUGUAGUCCUAGCUGUAAACGAUGGAAACUAGGUGUGGCUUG